rnacentral:rRNA from 1 species
AGCAGUCGCCCGGGAAUACGUAGGUGGCAAGCGUUGUCCGGAAUUAUUGGGCGUAAAGGGCUCGCAGGCGGUUUCUUAAGUCUGAUGUGAAAGCCCCCGGCUCAACCGGGGAGGGUCAUUGGAAACUGGGAAACUUGAGUGCAGAAGAGGAGAGUGGAAUUCCACGUGUAGCGGUGAAAUGCGUAGAGAUGUGGAGGAACACCAGUGGCGAAGGCGACUCUCUGGUCUGUAACUGACGCUGAGGAGCGAAAGCGUGGGGAGCGAACAGGAUUAGAUACCCCAGUAGUCCCUGUCUCUUAUACA